AUUUAUUCUAUCAUAUGGAAAGUAAUGGAAUAUUGGAUCCAUCAAAUGAAGAACAUGUGUUUUCAUUGCAUUAUGUGUUUUGUCCAAUUAUUAACAGAAAUUUGGAAAUUUUCCAGGAAGGUUACAAUAGAUCUCCCAUAAGAACAGAAAGAAAUCUAUCACCUGAACAGCUAUGGAUCCAAGGAUCUUGCUUAGCCAAUAAUUCAAACGACCAUAUACAGCAGGUAAACCAAGAAUUUCCACCCACCUUUACACAAAA